GAGCAGGUCUCCUGAGAGUUUGUACUUGGGGGGAAGAGAAAACCGGAUACGGAUAGAGGCCCUGGGGGAGAAGUGCUUUGCCCGGGGGUGAGGUGGCUGAGAAAGGGGACGUUUCUGAAAUUACAGGGGAUGCCUUUAACAGAAGACUGAUGUGUCAUAUUGCCCGAGGUUUUUUUUUUUUUUUCUUCCUCCAAAUCCGUGAGAUUCCGAUAGUGCUCUUUUGAUUGGCCUAAUGGAUAGUGAACGGUCUCUGGUGCAUUGAAGCCGCAAGAAAGACUCAUUUGAGGUAGUUUGAGGAUGGACAUUGGAUCAUCAAGUGAUUCCUGGCCCCCGGCUCAUUGCAUGUCUGCAACUCUCAGAAUGCACCGUGUGCUGUGCUUCUAGAACAAGGUACACACAGCUGCCCACUGAACAGCUGUACACCAAGACAGAGAUACCAGCUUGGGCAAGUGGCUCGGAUGCUCUGUGAAGUUCUAUUCCCGCAAGAUGGUGCAUGGGGCCAAAAUACCUUUCUCAUGAUCUAAUGGACUUGGGGAAAUGCUUCCUCUUGGUGAUUCACAGUGGACAUUUAUAUACUCACAGCUUUUAGAAACCUGGCAUGAGUGAAACCUAUUUCCUUUUGAUUUAAAAGCAUUUCCUGUCUUUUUUUUUUUAACCGUGGAGUUUUCCUGUCCUCCUUUUAUCCUCAAAGAAUACCUGUCCCUGGAACAAAGCUUGGCCUUUGCCCUCGGAUAUAUAAAUAUAUAUCAAAAUAAAAACAAG
rnacentral:lncRNA from 1 species